AUGCAUCAGAGAAAGCUGAAAGCUCACCAGGCAGUGCAGGCUGAAGAAGCAAACUGGUACGUCUCCAACCUAUCUAUAAUUUUUGAUUGUUCCAUGCUAUUAUAUUACCUGUUUUGGAUGUUUAUGGGCUUUACUUUACACUUUUAUAUCAUUUUUGGAACUAACCUACUAACCGGAGGCCCAGCCCGAAUUGCUAUUUUUUGCCUAUUUCAGUGUUUCGAAGAAAAGGAAUAUAAAACGGAGUCCAAACGGUAUGAAACCUUCGAGAGCGAUCUUUUUGGAACAAACGAAACCCAGGAGACUUGGAGUGGACAUCAAGAAGCGAACGAGGCGGCCACGAGGGUGCCCGGCACGCCCCCACCCUCGUGGUCCCCUCGAGGCUCCACCAACCUACUUCUUCCUCCUAUAUAUAUCCACUUACCCCGAGAACAUCAAGGAGCACCACGAAAACCUAAUUCCACCGCCACAACCUUCUGUAUCCGCGAGAUCCCAUCUUGGAGCCUUCGUUGGUGCUCCGUCGGAGGGGGAAUCGACCAUGGAGGGCCUCUACAUCAUCUCCAAGGCCUCUCAGAUGAGUUGUGA
rnacentral:rRNA from 1 species